rnacentral:rRNA from 1 species
AGAGUUUGAUCAUGGCUCAGAACGAACGUUGGCGGCCUGGAUUAGGCAUGCAAGUUGAGCGUACCCAGCAAUGGGGAGCAGCGUAAGGGGCAGUAAUGCAUGGGUAUCUACCCGGGGAUCGGGCAUAGCCUGUCGAGAGACAGGGUAAUUCCCGAUGAUGUCGCAAGACCAAAGCUCCGGCGUCCCUGGAGGAGCCCAUGUGAUAUUAGCUAGUUGGUGGGGUAACGGCCCACCAAGGCGAAGAUGUCUAGCGGGUGUGAGAGCACGACCCGCGCCACUGGCACUGAGACACUGGCCAGACACCUACGGGUGGCUGCAGUCGAGGAUCUUCGGCAAUGGGCGCAAGCCUGACCGAGCGAGGCCGCGUGGGCGAUGAAGGCCUUCGGGUUGUAAAGCCAUGUCGAGGGGGAGAAAAGCCGCAAGGCGUGAUCUAUCCCUGGAGGAAGCACGGGCUAAGUUCGUGCCAGCAGCCGCGGUAAGACGAACCGUGCGAACGUUGUUCGGAAUCACUGGGCUUAAAGGGCGCGUAGGCGGGCUAUCAAGUCCGGGGUGAAAUCCUCCAGCUCAACUGGAGAACGGCCUCGGAUACUGAUGGUCUCGAGGAGGAUAGGGGCACACGGAACUGUGGGUGGAGCGGUGAAAUGCGUUGAUAUCCAUAGGAACUCCGGUGGCGAAAGCGGUGUGCUGGAUCCUUUCUGACGCUGAGGCGCGAAAGCCAGGGGAGCAAACGGGAUUAGAUACCCCGGUAGUCCUGGCCCUAAACGUUGGGUACUAGGUAGUAGACUAGACAUGGGUUUACUUCCGAAGCAAAAGUGCUAAGUACCCCGCCUGGGGAGUAUGGUCGCAAGGCUGAAACUCAAAGGAAUUGACGGGGGCUCACACAAGCGGUGGAGCAUGUGGCUUAAUUCGAGGCAACGCGAAGAACCUUACCUAGGCUUGACAUGUGCGAAAGCGUCUGGGGGUAGUCGCCGGAAACGGCCGACGAAGGUAUCCAAUCCUGAACCAGACACAGGUGCUGCAUGGCUGUCGUCAGCUCGUGUCGUGAGAUGUCGGGUUAAGUCCCAUAACGAGCGAAACCCUUACCCUCAGUUGCUAAUCAUAGGACUCUGGGGGGACUGCCGGUGUUAAACCGGAGGAAGGUGGGGAUGACGUCAAGUCCUCAUGGCCUUUAUGCCUAGGGCUGCACACGUGCUACAAUGGCGUGAACAAAGGGAUGCCAACGCGCGAGCGGGAGCGAACCCCAGAAAACACGCCCCAGUUCAGAUCGGAGGUUGCAACUCACCUCCGUGAAGUCGGAAUCGCUAGUAAUCGCGGGUCAGCAACACCGCGGUGAAUGUGUUCCUGAGCCUUGUACACACCGCCCGUCAAGCCACGAAAGGGAGGGGCGCCCGAAGUCACCUAGUGCCGAAGGCGAAACUCCUGAUUGGGACUAAGUCGUAACAAGGUAGCCGUA